AUAUAUAUAUAGUGAAGAGGAAGGUUGUCUACUUUUGCAUCGUGGGAGUCAUUGGGCAGUUGAGGGAAAUUUUGGGAUUUACUGUGUGGAAGUUUGGUUACGGCUAUUUUGAGUUGUUCCAAUUAUCUAGAGGGUGUUGGUUAAAGUGGUAAAAUAUUUUGGGCUUUAAAGAAUUGCAGCACGAUGAACUUGCCAUCAGUGAUGAAUUAUUGUCAGCAAAAGAGAUGAAGGUUCUAAAGAAGUGAAGUGGAUCUUUUAUUUACCCAGAGCAUGCAUGAUAUUCUUUGUCAUGGACAUCACUUGGAUCAAUGUGUGAGUUUUACUUGUCUAGUAUCUUCAAUAUCUUUUGCAUAUUCUAUUAAGGAGGCACAUACUUUUGAUAACAUUGUUUAGUUUAGAUCCUUGUUUCCAUAAUCAGUAUGAGUCAUCUGGAGUUCCCUGGAGUGGUUCCUCACACUUUUAUUGGAGCCUUGAAGACGUCCAUUUUGGCAUUUACAAAGUAUAUUGGACAUGAACGUUGUUGCACUUGCCGCUGCAGACUUGUGGAUAGUUUGUAGGUUGAAAAGUUAGCUACUCAUAUAUCAUGGAGUGGUUGAUGGGCCACUUAGGGAUUUGAUUGACAAUCCAAGAUGCUGUGCCUCAUGAUCAGAUCUUCCCUGCAUUUUCUACAUAAGCCAGGCAGCAGUUUUCUAAAGCUCCAUUACUAUCUUGGACUUCAUGGUAACUUCUCAAUACAUCAAUACAAAAAUGAAAAAAGUCAUUUGCAUUCAGUCUUCAAGAUUCAAGGAGUGGUCGUGGAUGUAACGCGUCAUUUUCGUUAAUGGUGAAUGGUGAUUCUGAAGUAAACUGCAGCAUAACAGAUUGAUGUUUGUCCAAAUGGAAAUAUCAAAUAUCCCACAAGUAUAAGGGCAUUGAUGCAAUCUUGUAAGGAGAUGUUCUGCCCACCCCUCAUGUCCAGGUGCAUAUUGUUAUAUUUGACCAGAUACACUACUAAAUGUGACGCCCCCAGAUUCCGCUUGGGAUCGGACAGACAUCUGAAGUGUCGGGACAUGCA